rnacentral:rRNA from 1 species
AGCGGCGCACGGGUGAUUAACACGUGAGUAACCUACCCUUCAGAUGGGGGAUAACUAGGGGAAACCCUGGCUAAUACCCCAUGUGAUCCAACAACGAAGGUUGUUGGAUUAAGGAAGCAAUUGCUUCGCUGAAGGAUGGGCCCGCGUCCCAUCAGGUAGUUGGUGAGGUAAUGGCUCACCAAGCCUACGACGGGUAGCCGGCCUGAGAGGGUGGUCGGCCACAGGGGCACUGAGACACGGGCCCCACUCCUACCGGAGGCAGCAGUGGGGAAUUUUGGACAAUGGGCGAAAGCCUGAUCCAGCGACGCCGCGUGGGGGACGAAGCCCUUCGGGGUGUAAACCCCUGUUGCGAGGGACGAAUAAGGUGCGGAGUGGAAUGUCUCACCGAUGACGGUACCUCGCGAGAAAGCCCCGGCUAACUACGUGCCAGCAGCCGCGGUAAUACGUAGGGGGCAAGCGUUACCCGGAUUUACUGGGCGUAAAGGGUGCGUAGGCGGUUUAGUGUGUCGGGUGUGAAAUCCCACGGCUCAACCGUGGAAUUGCGCCCGAAACUACUAAUCUUGGGGACGGUAGAGGGAGAUGGAACUGCCGGUGUAGGGGUGAAAUCCGUAGAUAUCGGCAGGAACGCCGGUGGGGAAGCCGGUCUCCUGGGCCGCUCCCGACGCUGAGGCACGAAAGCUAGGGGAGCAAACCGGAUUAGAUACCCGGGUAGUCCUAGCUGUAAACGAUGCCCACUAGGUGUGGGGGAAUUAUUCCUCCGUGCUGGAGCUAACGCGCUAAGUGGGCCGCCUGGGGAGUACGCCCGCAAGGGUGAAACUCAAAGGAAUUGGCGGGACCUCGCACAAGCGGUGGAGCGCGUGGUUCAAUUGGAUGCUGAGCCAAGAACCUUACCAGGGCUUGACAUGCGGGUGGUACCAACCCGAAAGGGAAGGGACUCCUUCCUUUUGGAAGGAGAGCUCGCACAGGUGGUGCACGGCCGUCGUCAGCUCGUGCCGUGAGGUGUUGGGUUAAGUCCCGCAACGAGCGCAACCCCUGCCCUUAGUUGCCAGCGGUUCAGCCGGGCACUCUAAGGGGACUGCCGGCGACGAGCCGGAGGAAGGAGGGGACGACGUCAGGUAAUCGUGCCCUUUAUGCCCUGGGCGACACACGCGCUACAAUGGGUGGUACAAUGGGUUGCGACCCCGCGAGGGGGAGCUAAUCCCAUAAAACCAUCCUCAGUUCAGAUCGCAGGCUGCAACCCGCCUGCGUGAAGCCGGAAUCGCUAGUAAUCGCGGAUCAGCCACGCCGCGGUGAAUACGUUCCCGGGGUUUGCACACACCGCCCGUCAAGCCACCCGAGCUGGGGGCACCUGAAGACGCCGAUCCUAACCCGAAAGGGAGGGA